rnacentral:rRNA from 16 species
CCCUUACGGGUAGGGCUACACACGUGCUACAAUGGCAGUGACAAUGGGUUAAUCCCCAAAAACUGUCUCAGUUCGGAUUGUCGUCUGCAACUCGACGGCAUGAAGGUGGAAUCGCUAGUAAUCGUGGAUCAGCAUGCCACGGUGAAUACGUUCCCGGGCCUUGUACACACCGCCCGUCACAUCAUGGGAAUUGGUUCUACCCGAAGACGCUGUGCUAACUUCGGAGGCAGGCGGCCACGGUAGGAUCAGUGACUGGGAUGAAGUCGUAACAAGGUAGCCGUAGGGGAACCUGCGG